rnacentral:misc_RNA from 1 species
UACAUAACAGAUAUAUAGAUCUAAAGCAUAAAUGAUUCAAAAUACUGUAAAAACCCAAACCAUAAGCGGAAAAAUUAGGAUAAUAUAAUGUUAAAAUUACGAAAUUGAAUAUAUAAUUAUAUCAAUUAAGUUUAUUUAUUUAUUAGCUUUGAAAUUCAUCUUCUCGUAGUACCGAAUUGAUAGCAGCGAUAGCGAGAGAUUAACUUCGUCUUUUCCCCAUCUGGUGUUUGCAGCAGCGUAUUUCAACGGCCGAGUAGGCGCCGGAGGAAGGCAAGGCCAGGCGGAAGCCGGUGGAUUCGAAGAAGACGCCGAUGGAGACGGCGACGGCUUUGAGAGUGGCCAGAGGUAGAGUGAGUAGAGACGCCGGAAGCCGCCGAGAGCGAGGACGACGGCUCGGAGCUGUUGCUGUUGGUUACAGCUGUGUCUUGUGCAGAUCAGCUCCCAUAGCCGCUCAUCUAGGGCCGUUUGAUUCCACUGUUUGCUAACGCACGCCGCCGUAGCUAACGUGCGCCCGUCAACGUGUUUCAGUACUUCGUACAGUAGAUUCUCAUUCAACAACACCGCCUCCGUAUCCGCAUCCGCAUCCGCAUCCGGCGACUCUAUAACCUGCUUCAUCUUUUUCAAAUCGCCGGAGACUUUAGCUGCACAGUUAGCUUCAAAUUGCCUCUUCAUCGGUAACUUCCUCUCUUCCUCCAACUCUAACAUCUCCUUCUUCAUCUUCUUCACAUGAUCGCCGCCGGUGAAAUUGGCCCAAUCGGUUUCUCCGGCGUCGAAUUGCCGCUUCAUCGUUGGAUCUAAAUUUG